rnacentral:rRNA from 1 species
UACGGGGGGGGCAAGCGUUGUUCGGAAUUACUGGGCGUAAAGGGCUUGUAGGUGGCCAACUAAGUCAGACGUGAAAUCCCUCAGCUUAACUGGGGAACUGCGUCUGAUACUGGAUGGCUUGAGUUUGGGAGAGGGACGCGGAAUUCCAGGUGUAGCGGUGAAAUGCGUAGAUAUCAGGAAGAACACCCGUGGCGAAGGCGGCUCUCUGGGACGGUACUGACGCUGAGACGCGAAAGCGUGGGGAGCGAACAGG